UUUUGACAACAUCAAAAACAAAAUACAAAAAAAAACCUAAACCUAAACCUAUCUUUUUUUUUCAAGAGGAGCCGCCCCCCAUUUUUCAAAAAAAAGGAAGAAAACCAUAGCAGCUAAACAAAGACAGCCCCUCCCCACUGGAACGUUUGGAUUUCACCCAGCCGGUUUGAAUUUCUUUUUCCCCUCAGUAGCCGAACAACUCACCCUCUCACUUUCCCUUCCCCCGGCCAAAAAAAACCAGAGAAGCCAGGCAGCCCCUCCCCGUCUCCUUAGUCUUCCUCUCGGCCGAAAUUCCACAAUCAGCAAAACCCCAUUUCCUUCUGCAGCCGCCGGCCCCCACGUUGAUUUUGUUUUCCACACAGCCCUCACCUUCACUCUCCCCUCUCAGCCGUUCCUCUGGACAGCCAUCAACCCGGAACUUUCCCUCUCAGCUGCAGGAGCAAGGGACGAACCGAACGGAGACCAUAACAGCCUCCUCUGCAAUCUUCUUCCUUCACCGGCCAUCGCUGCUCUCUUCUCUUUCCCUCUCUCCCACCAAGACGACCCAGCAGCAGCUCCUCCACCACGCACGGCUGCACCCGCAGCUCCGGCCUCCAGCCUUGAGCCACUCCUCACUCCACAGCAGGUCGGCCACAGAAGAAGAAGGAAGAACAACGGCUGGAAAAUAAAACGGAAGCAGACCCGAACGGUGGAGAAAAUAAAACAGAUCUGGAAAACUAAGAAAAAUUAAAAUCGACUGCUGUGUUGUUCUUUGAUUGAUCUGCAGGUUGGCGCCGGCGAGGAAAGAAGGAGGGAGGAGGUCGUUGCAGACCCCCCUGUUUUCGCCUUGUUUUCACGGGGGCGCGUGGAUCCACGCGCCGCCAGUGGCGGGGGUGCGUGAGAUCCACGCGCCACCACUGCCACUGCUGUCCCAGCGGCUUCGCAACACUGUUCCGACGAGUUAGAGGUUUCCAGCACUGUUCCGGAAUGUUUUGGUUCAUUUUGUAAUUUCCAAAUUGUUUUAAUGUAAUAUUUUAUUUAGUUUUGAGUUUUUUGUAAUUUGUAUUUUGUAAAUAUG
rnacentral:lncRNA from 1 species